rnacentral:rRNA from 1 species
AUUGAACGCUGGCGGCAGGCCUAACACAUGCAAGUCGAGCGGAUGAAGGGAGCUUGCUCCUGGAUUCAGCGGCGGACGGGUGAGUAAUGCCUAGGAAUCUGCCUGGUAGUGGGGGAUAACGUCCGGAAACGGGCGCUAAUACCGCAUACGUCCUGAGGGAGAAAGUGGGGGAUCUUCGGACCUCACGCUAUCAGAUGAGCCUAGGUCGGAUUAGCUAGUUGGUGGGGUAAAGGCCUACCAAGGCGACGAUCCGUAACUGGUCUGAGAGGAUGAUCAGUCACACUGGAACUGAGACACGGUCCAGACUCCUACGGGAGGCAGCGGUGGGGAAUAUUGGACAAUGGGCGAAAGCCUGAUCCAGCCAGGCCGCGUGUGUGAAGAAGGUCUUCGGAUUGUAAAGCACUUUAAGUUGGGAGGAAGGGCAGUAAGUUAAUACCUUGCUGUUUUGACGUUACCAACAGAAUAAGCACCGGCUACCUUCGU